AGUGAACGCUGGCGAUAGGCCUAACACAUGCAAGUCGAACGGCAGCACAGUAAGAGCUUGCUCUUACGGGUGGCGAGUGGCGGGCGGGUGAGGAAUGCAUCGGAAUCUACUUUUUCGUGGGGGAUAACGUAGGGAAACUUACGCUAAUACCGCAUACGACCUACGGGUGAAAGCAGGGGAUCUUCGGACCUUGCGCGAUUGAAUGAGCCGAUGUCGGAUUAGCUAGUUGGCGGGGUAAAGGCCCACCAAGGCGACGAUCCGUAGCUGGUCUGAGAGGAUGAUCAGCCACACUGGAACUGAGACACGGUCCAGACUCCUACGGGAGGCAGCAGUGGGGAAUAUUGGACAAUGGGCGCAAGCCUGAUCCAGCCAUACCGCGUGGGUGAAGAAGGCCUUCGGGUUGUAAAGCCCUUUUGUUGGGAAAGAAAAGCAGCAGGUUAAUACCCCGCUGUUCUGACGGUACCCAAAGAAUAAGCACCGGCUAACUUCGUG
rnacentral:rRNA from 1 species